rnacentral:tRNA from 1 species
GCCCGAGUGGCGGAACCUGGUAUACGCGCAGCACUUAAAAUGCUGUGAGCUUAUGCUCUUGUCGGUUCAACUCCGACCUCGGGCA